UACAGGACAAGGAAACCUGAAGACUGUCCUGGCAGACGACAGUCUGGCCAGUUACCAAGGACGUCACAAUGGGCAGAAGAUCUCUCUUGAAUUUCCCCCUCACAGUGAAGGAGCUGCUAAGUCAGUUUACAUGAUGCGCUUUCACACGCAGGUCACGGUCUGCUGGGGCCACUGGGCCACGCAAACAGAGGAAGAAACCACAGACAGCGAAGGCCGGUCAGCCGCACGAGACAAAUCCGGUGAAGCGUCAGGCACCUGAUCUGCCAGUAGAGGGCAGUGAGCCGCCAGCUUCUUUUCUAAAUACAAAGCCAGACUUCCCACCACCGCCGAUUCCUACAUCUGUAUCAUCCUCUUCCCUUGGCUUCAGUCCAAAAGCCUGAAGUAACAGCUGAGCAAGGAUUGGUGGGGGGAUGAUCAACUCAGAAGACUGGACCAUCUGGAUGGAAGAGAAAUAUCCUUACUUUCUCACUAUUAUUUGCUUUGAUAUCCAGGGAGAUGAAUAUUUCUUGGUUCAGAUUAUGCUUUGAAGAGGCUAAACAAACUUUCAAGAGAGACAUACUCUUGAUAAUCUUCGUAUGAAUUAAAAAUUUCUAUUCUCCAUACUCAUGGGAAAGAAGAUGGCUUUUAAAAAAUAGUUCUGAAGCUGAAAUCUGUAAUUAGAUGGUUUCCUAGUCUUCCACCCCACCUCCUUUUUUUUUUUGCUUUUUUACUUUAAUGUUGACUAAAAUUUCUUUCAAGUAUUUUGAGCACCUUGAUUUUCUCAUUCAGUAGAAAUUAAUUCACCCUCCAAUGAAAGCAAAAAACAAGAAAUCACAGGAAACUGGGAGGGAUGAGAGAAACUGUAUUCAUCAUUAGAUGACUAGCAACAUCUUGAUUGUUUUAACCAUGAACCUGUCAAAUCAGAACACUCAGUUACCAAGAAAGUUAUACAAACAUUCUCUGGUUUAUGUAAUUUUUUUCUGCCUUAUCUUCUGCAGUCCUUAUUAGCUCUGUCAUUUGAAGUUCACUACAACUGAUUAAGACUGUAUUAAAUUGUGAUUUUUUUUCAUAAAAAUUUGUGUAACUCAGUUACUGGUGAGCUUAAAGGGAACAUCACUUUCUAGGUAGGAAAAAUUUUAGUUAAAUUAAUAAUAUAAACCAGUGGCCUGCAGGAAGUGUCUGGACUGCAGAUUUAUUUUAUUUGGCCUGAAUGAUUUUGGUCACAAAGUAUUUUUAAAUGUUUGGAAUUUAUUGCCAAUAUUUAAAAAUUAGAAGAUCUUGCAUAAACAUACAGAUCGCCAGCAUUUUCAAAGUAACUAAAUGCUUUGUCAGCACUGGAAUCUCCCCGCCCACAGCAGCCAUCAGCUUAGUUGACUGGUGGUGGAACAAACAUUGUAGGUUGCGUACCAAAUAAUCCCCUUCUUCCUUUUCAGAACCCUAAUUUUGUUCAGCUUUCCAGAUUUUCAAAAAGACAAUCCUAACUCCAUCUCCUGGAUAAAUCUCUGUCACUCUGAGGCAAUCACAAUAAUCAGAUUUCCCUUACCAGUGGUUGAUUUGAAGAUGAGUGUAUAAAUCGCCUCCCCCCUUUUCUGCCAAUGGGACAAGACAGGGGAUGUGUUGGGGACUGUCUAGGAAAGGUAUCCUUGUCCCUUCUGGCUAUUUGGAUAUCCCAUGUGGUACUGCUGCAGCCACAUUGUGCUUAUGAGGGCAAGGCUGGUAUACUGAAUACGAUAGAGCAGAAAGGUGAAUAAAACCUGGUCUUUUAAUGAUGUCAUUGAACUGGUGAAUUACUAAACUGCUGGACUUUCUUGGGACUUUCUGCUGUCUGAUCAAUAAAAUUUCCUUGUUGUUUAAGUCAUUUUGAGUUAGAUGUGCUCUUACUUGCAACAGAAGUCUUCCUGACUAGUACAGUAGCAGCUCCCGUGAUUAGGGCACGUGCUUUUCACUUCAUCAUUACCGCUACAUAUGCUUCCAGAGAAAGCCCUUCCCUUGGCAAUGCCAGCUUUAGACGUUGCUUAGCAGUUAGCGCUGGGCAGUCUGCUACGCUUCUCAACGCUAACACAGUGUUGCUAUUAUGAUUA